AUUACAGAAAAUUGGUGCCCCUCGGGGCAACCUAUUGAAUCACCCUUUGUAUAUCACGAUUACAAGUUGCUUCGGCAGGAUCUUACCUGCCGAACGCCAAAAACCCUUGAAUUUCUGCCGUCUGAGUACUAUAAAUAAUAGUUAAAACUUUCAACAACGGAUCUCUUGGUUCUGGCAUCGAUGAAGAACGCAGCGAAAUGCGAUAAGUAAUGUGAAUUGCAGAAUUCAGUGAAUCAUCGAAUCUUUGAACGCACAUUGCGCCCCCUGGCAUUCCGGGGGGCAUGCCUGUUCGAGCGUCAUUACAACCCUCAAGCUUCGCUUGGUGUUGGGCUCGCCCGCUGUGGGCCUGCCUCAAAAUCAGUGGCGGCUUUCGUCCGGUCUCAAGCGCAGUAAUGCUCGUCGCUUGCCAGGCUCGGGCGCCGGCCUGCCAGCAACCCCC
rnacentral:rRNA from 1 species